rnacentral:rRNA from 1 species
UACGUAGGGUGCGAGCGUUGUCCGGAAUUAUUGGGCGUAAAGGGCUCGUAGGCGGUCCAUCGCGUCGGGAGUGAAAAGCUGGGGCUUAACCCCAGUCCUGCUUUCGAUACGGGUGGACUAGAGGUAGGCAGGGGAGAAUGGAAUUCCUGGUGUAGCGGUGAAAUGCGUAGAUAUCAGGAGGAACACCUGUGGCGAAGGCGUCCAUCUGGCCCGUUACUGACGCUGAUGCGCGAAAGCUAGGGGAGCAAACGGG